UAGAGUUUGAUCAUGGCUCAGGAUGAACGCUAGCGACAGGCUUAACACAUGCAAGUCGAGGGGCAUCGGGGCGAGGAGCAAUCCUUGCCGCCGGCGACCGGCGCACGGGUGAGUAACGCGUAUGCGACCUGCCCGUUGCAGGGGGAUAAUCGGGAGAAAUCCCGUCUAAUACCGCGUAACGCCGCGGGGCUGCAUGGCCCUGCGGCCAAAGGAAGCGAUUCCGGCAACGGAUGGGCAUGCGUGACAUUAGCUAGUUGGCGGGGCAACGGCCCACCAAGGCGACGAUGUCUAGGGGUUCUGAGAGGAAGGUCCCCCACACUGGUACUGAGACACGGACCAGACUCCUACGGGAGGCAGCAGUGAGGAAUAUUGGUCAAUGGGCGCGAGCCUGAACCAGCCAAGUCGCGUGAGGGAUGACGGCCCUACGGGUUGUAAACCUCUUUUGUCGGGGAGCAAAUUCCGCCACGUGUGGCGGAGUCGAGAGUACCCGAAGAAAAAGCAUCGGCUAACUCCGUGCCAGCAGCCGCGGUAAUACGGAGGAUGCGAGCGUUAUCCGGAUUUAUUGGGUUUAAAGGGUGCGUAGGCGGACUGUCAAGUCAGCGGUAAAAUACGGGGGCUCAACCUCCGCCCGCCGUUGAAACUGACGGUCUUGAGUGGGCGAGAAGUAUGCGGAAUGCGUGGUGUAGCGGUGAAAUGCAUAGAUAUCACGCAGAACUCCGAUUGCGAAGGCAGCAUACCGGCGCCCAACUGACGCUGAAGCACGAAAGCGUGGGUAUCGAACAGGAUUAGAUACCCUGGUAGUCCACGCAGUAAACGAUGAAUACUAGCUGUCCGGGGCGAAUGAGCCCUGGGUGGCACAGCGAAAGCGUUAAGUAUUCCACCUGGGGAGUACGCCGGCAACGGUGAAACUCAAAGGAAUUGACGGGGGCCCGCACAAGCGGAGGAACAUGUGGUUUAAUUCGAUGAUACGCGAGGAACCUUACCCGGGCUCAAACGACACAGGAACGUACCUGAAAGGGUUCGGCUCUACGGAGCCUGUGUCGAGGUGCUGCAUGGUUGUCGUCAGCUCGUGCCGUGAGGUGUCGGCUUAAGUGCCAUAACGAGCGCAACCCCCAUCGACAGUUGCUAACAGGUCAGGCUGAGGACUCUGUCGAGACUGCCGGCGCAAGCUGCGAGGAAGGCGGGGAUGACGUCAAAUCAGCACGGCCCUUACGUCCGGGGCGACACACGUGUUACAAUGGCAGGUACAGCGGGAAGCCACCUGGCGACAGGGAGCGGAACCCGAAAGCCUGUCUCAGUUCGGAUUGGAGUCUGCAACCCGACUCCAUGAAGCUGGAUUCGCUAGUAAUCGCGCAUCAGCCACGGCGCGGUGAAUACGUUCCCGGGCCUUGUACACACCGCCCGUCAAGCCAUGGAAGCCGGGGGUGCCUGAAGUGCGCUGCCGCGAGGAGCGCCCUAGGGUAAAACCGGUGACUGGGGCUAAGUCGUAACAAGGUAACCGUAA
rnacentral:rRNA from 1 species